rnacentral:misc_RNA from 1 species
GAUGAAGAACGUAGCGAAAUGCGAUACCUGGUGUGAAUUGCAGAAUCCCGCGAACCAUCGAGUCUUUGAACGCAAGUUGCGCCCGAGGCCACCCGGCCGAGGGCACGCCUGCCUGGGCGUCACGCCAAAACACGCUCCCACCCCCCCUCACCGGGGGAGCGGGACGCGGCGUCUGGCCCCCCGUGCCGCGAGGCGCGGUGGGCCGAAGAUCGGGCUGCCGGCGUACCGUGCCGGGCACAGCGCGUGGUGGAUCUCUAAUCGGCGCAGUGCACCCGGCGCGUAGCCGGCGCAGCGGCCCCUAAGGACCCAACGAACGGAGCGCGAGCCGCUCCGACCGCGACCCCAGGUCAGGCGGGACUACCCGCUGAGUUUAAGCAUAUCAAUAAGCGGAGGA